CAAAAAACCAUCCCCACCCCCGCUCCCACCCGCGCUGCCAGAGUCGCACCACCACCUGCGCCGGUGGACCCCGCUCUCACCACGCGCCGCUGGACCUCGCUCCCACUACGCGCCGCCGGAGCCCCGCCCUGCCCCGCCUCGCCCUGCGUUGCUGGACUUGCCAUGCGCUGCCGCAGCCCCGCCAUCCCCGCCCAAGCUCGCACCACUGGGAGCCCUGUCCUGCUACACACCUUCUUCCGUGGAUCUCCGGCCAUGGGAUCCGGCGAGCUCGGGAUUCUCCGGCAUCCUACCCUGGCAUCUUCCUCUCUGACAUCUGCUGAGAUCCACGGGCCCCCGCAACGCCGGCCUCCAUGGCCCUGGUCCCGCCUCGGCCGCAGCCACGGCCCCUGCCCGGCGACGCCUACCGUCCAUGGACCUCCCAAAUCCGGCGCAAAUCCACACCAUGCCGAGCCUCCACCAUCCGUGUGCGCUGCCCAACGUCGACCCCAUCUCACCUCCCUUCUCCAACAAACCUUCUUCAUCUGCCAUGGAUCCGUCAACUGCGACCUCCCCCAACGAUCGCUGCUGGGCCAUCGCGGCCACUGCCUACUGCCUCCCGUUGAUACGACGGCUACCACAGGAUGACCGGCGCUCUGCCAAUCACUCCACCAUCGCCUCCUCUCUAGUGGACGCGGGUCCGGCGAGAGGCCGCCGAGAAGAACCUCUGGUCGCCCCACUGGUCGUGGCCGCAGCAUACAUGGACUGCUGACAGAAACUACAUGGAGGGAGGCUCGCAGAUCGUUGGUGCAGGGCACUCUGGUCCUGGUGCAGAUCGUUGUUUUGGUGUUUUUAUUAUAAAGUGUAAAAUGUAGUCCACUGUUGUUUGCUCUUGAGGUUCAAUUUACUUGUUCUUGCAGGAAGAAAGGUGGUGAUGUGCGUUUUGAUGCAGCGUUGCAUUUUUUGUGUUUAUCAUGUUGUUUGGACAGCGAGUCUCCCUCCGUGCAGUCCGCUGGCACGUCCAUGCAGUACAGCGCGUGUGUGUAUGCAGCACACGACGCGUGGGUUGCCGGUGGCUGUUGUGAAGUUGAUUGUUUUUUCAUUUUCAGAAAAAUUGCAUGAUGCUAUCUGGUCAUUAGUUUAUAGUUAGUCAUGCAGUGCACUAGGAAAAAGUGGUGCAGUACUCGUCAAAUUAUUUUGUUUUUGCUCACCGACGACAAUGGUGCAGCACUUUAGAUGUGGCUUUGAAGCUUA